AUGCAUGGGAUGAUGAGAUCCCGCGCUCUCCUGCUCGUCGCCGUCGUCCUGACGGCGCAGCUGUGCGCGUGCACGGCGUACGCCGGCAGCGGUGGCGAUGGGUUUAGCGUGGAGUUCAUCCACCGUGACUCGGUCAGGUCGCCGUUCCACGACCCGACGCUCACCGCGCCCGCCCGCGUGCUGGAGGCCGCGCGGCGGUCCGCGGCCCGCGCCGCGGCGCUCUCGCGCUCCUACGUCCGCGCCGACGCGCCCUCAGCUGACGGCUUCGUGUCCGAGGUCACGUCCAGGUCGUCCGAGUACCUGAUGGCCGUGAACAUAGGCACGCCGCCCACUCCUAUGGUCGCCAUCGCCGACACCGGCAGCGACCUCAUCUGGCUCAAUUGCAGCUCCGGAGGUGACGGUCCUGGUCUGGCGGCCGCCCGUGACGCGGACGCGCAGUCGCCGGGCGUCCAGUUCGACCCCUCCAAUUCGACGACGUUCAGCCUCGUGGACUGCGACUCCGGCGCGUGCGGCGAGCUGCCCGACGCAGCCUGUGGCACCGACUCCAAGUGCAGGUACUCAUACUCCUACGGCGACGGCUCCCACACGAGCGGCGUCCUCUCCACAGAGACCUUCACCUUCGCCGACGCCCCGGGCGCCCGCGGCGAUGGGACGACGCGCGUGGCCCACGUCAACUUCGGCUGCUCCACGACCUUCGUCGGCACGUUCAUCGGGGACGGCCUCGUCGGCCUCGGCGGCGGCGACCUCUCCCUCGUCAGUCAGCUCGGCGCAGACACCUCGCUGGGCCGGAGGUUCUCCUACUGCCUCGUGCCCUACUCCGUCAUGGCCUCCUCCGCGCUCAACUUCGGCUCCCGGGCCGCCGUGACGGAUCCGGGCGCGGCGGCGACGCCGCUGAUCCCAUCUCAAGUGAAGGCAUACUACACCGUCGAGCUCCGGUCCGUCAAGGUCGGGAGCAAGACCUUCGCGGCGCCGGACCAGUCCCCCGUCAUCGUCGACUCCGGCACGACGCUCACAUACCUCCCGGAAGCGCUUUUAGACCCACUUGUGAAGGAGCUGACACAGCGGAUCAAGCUCCCGCCUGCCCAGUCGCCAGAAAAGUUCCUGCCACUGUGCUUCGACGUGAGCGGGGUGCCGGAUGGGCAGGUUGCGGCCAUGAUCCCUGAGGUGACGCUGGGGCUGGGCGGCGGCGCCGCGGUCACGCUGAAGGCGGAGAACACGUUCGUGGAGGUGCAGGAGGGGACCCUGUGCUUGGCGGUGGCGGCGAAGUCGGAGCAGCUUCCGGCGUCGAUCAUUGGGAACAUCGCCCAGCAGAACAUGCACGUUGGGUACGACCUCGACAAGGGCACCGUGACCUUCGCUCCAGCAGACUGCGCGAGUUCCUACCCCGCACCCUCACCCUCCGGCUCUCUGUAG
rnacentral:rRNA from 1 species